UCUUCUGUAAAGCACGCAACGCAGAGAGUCACAUUGGACAUUGAUAAAUGUUUUGUAAUAUUAUAUUGACUCAUGUUUGAUCAUUAAUACAUUUCAGACAGUAUCAUCAGUGUAAAUGGACCCGGAUAAAGAAAGUACUGUACUCUGUAGGAGCCUCAUUUGAGACAUGGAGAGAGAUGUGCUGAUCCUGAAGAUGAUGCGUGAGAAAGCCAAAGAGAGAUGUGUCCAGCACGUCAACGGAUGUGUGUUUGACCUCUGGUUUGUCCGGUGAUUGACCAUUGGUUUGUGACCAAAACAAAAGGGGAUCUGGCAUCCUCGUGGUGAAAUGGGGAGUGUCCAUGGAAUGGCCCAGGCAUGAGCGGGGCCCGACGGCCGCACGCGCUCCCCUCCUGGGUCCGAGGCGCAUGGGGUGCGGCAUCGCUGGCGGCCUGUAUUCCCUACCGCAGCAGGUGAGAGGGGAAAGCAGCCCGACCUCUAGCCCGUCGACCGCAGCGCAUGCUGUUCUCCCCAACGACACAUCUAACUCGCACCAGGGGUCUGAGGAGCGGGUCGGGCAACGCAUCUAUCUCGGCCGAACCCUCCCCACUCUGAUCCUGGGCCUGCGAGGAUGCCAGUUGUUAUCCUCCAAACACACAUCCGGCUAUUGUUAUCUCUCAAACACACAUCCGGCUAUUGUUAUCCUCCAAACACACAUCCGGCUAUUGUUAUCUCUCAAACACACAUCUGGCUAUUGUUAUCCUCCAAACACACAUCCAACAUUUAUGUUAUCAAACAUAAACAUCUGUCAGGUACUUCCGGCCAUGCCCUCUCAUCAAUCAAAUGUACAUUUUGUAUAUAAUUUGACUGUAGACCACAUUUAAUCUUGGAUUUUUUUAUUUGUUUUUACAUUUAAACCAGGAUAUAGUACCUAGUUAAACCUAGUUUUAGGAUUUGAAAAAAAAAGUGAAGUUAUGAUGUAAAAUAAGAAAUAUUUCAGGUUCUGCACUAUUUCUGGGUCACUAAUGAAAUGUUCUGAAAUUAGUGACAUUGAUCAUAUUAACACUUUAAACAGACAGUCAGAUUUUCUUGAUUUAUUGAAGCACACAAGAUGCUCUUGUUCAAAUCACGUUGAUAACGUGAACCCGAGGAAGUCUGAAAUUCAUGUUGAUAAUAUAUUUUGUCAUUAAAUAAUUUGUUUUAAAAUAGAAGAAUGCAAAAUAGCAACAUUUUCAUGAGUGUUUUCAGGCUUUUGAACCACUGAAUAUUGGUGAAAUAAUCCACUUUUGGCUAAAUGCAUGUCAGUGCGCAUUGCUUAAUAAAAAUUGUAGCUGCUCACACUUGUAUUGGUUUAGUUGUUGUAACACAUCAUGUGCUGUUGGAAUGUGAUAGGUUGUCAUGUAUUGUCUGUUUCUCCACACCUGCAGUGUCAUGUGUGAUGGUGUUGUGGAAACCCCCAUGCAGAAGUUUGCUCAUUGAUUUCACACCUCCACCCGUGCAGCGCUAAGACGGAUGCAUUGUUUGCGUGUUCUCGUGUGCAGGGGCAGCUCCUUACACACAACGUGACAGUGGUUUCUUUAGUUUGACAAAGACCACAGUGAACAGGAGAAUUGGCUGCAUAUUUGAAAUCAAUUUAGUGUUAAUAGUGUGAGAGUGUUUUGGGCCAGCUGACAGAUCAGGCUAGUGCUGUGUUGUCACUUAAUCUUACAAUCGUUGAUCCUGUACUAUUGAUCCAAUACAUUAUUUUAAUACAUGUUGGUUUGGUGGUUGAUGUCUCAUCUGUGCAUGCUAUUCCAAAGAGAAUAAUGUCUUUGUAAUCUUUCAUCAGAACUUCCUCCAUCUCUGAAACGACUUUCCUUUUUUGGUUGAUGCCAUCAAGUCUUCUUAUUUUUCAUCCAGCUGUUUGUCAUAUAGAGACACUUUACACAUCCCGUCAAUUUUACAUGUAUAAAAUCAAGUCCUGCCCUAUAUUUUUCUCGUUGAAUAUCCUGGUUAACUUGAAAAUAUGUGAAAUGUUCACUUUAAACAUUGUUGCAAAUUCUGCUUAUUUAAAUAUUUUACCAGGGCUAAUAGAGAUGACAUAGCAGCAGUUUGUAAGAGUUAAAAAUUAUAAACAAAUCAGUAAUGUGAUGUUUUUUUAAACAGUAUUGAAGGAGUUCCCAUCUAUGCCUGGCACUUAUUGGCUGCUUUUCUUUAUUAUUCGGUCAAAGUCAUCCAUUUCAAAAACUUUUUUUUUUUUUUAAAUACAAUUUUAGUUUUGUAAUGAAAUAAAUUAAUAUGUUGGCACAAUUAUAUUUUUGUCUACAAAACUCAUUUGAAACAUUUAAAAAUACGCCUUCAGAUCAAAAGAUUUUUAAUAUCAUGAGAAACAUUUCAGUCAAGUGACCCCAAACGUUUGAACAGCAGUGUGUAUAUAUGCAGCUCUGGAAAAAAUUAAGACACCACUGCAAAAUUAUCAGUUUCUCUGGAUUUACUUUUUAUAGGUAUGUGUUUGAGUAAAAUGAACAUUAUGAAUGCUAUGAAGCACCCCCAGAUCAUCACCAAUCA